UACGGGGGGGGCAAGCGUUGUUCGGAAUUACUGGGCGUAAAGGGCUCGUAGGCGGCCAACUAAGUCGGAUGUGAAAGCCCCUGGCUCAACUGGGGAAGUGCACCCGAAACUGAAUGGCUUGAGUGCGAAAGAGGGUCGCGGAAUUCCCGGUGUAGAGGUGAAAUUCGUAGAUAUCGGGAGGAACACCGGUGGCGAAGGCGGCGACCUGGGUCGACACUGACGCUGAGGCGCGAAAGCGUGGGGAGCAAACAGG
rnacentral:rRNA from 1 species